rnacentral:rRNA from 1 species
UUUGAAAUCUGACUUUCGGGUCCGACUUGUAAUCUGCAGAUGAGUCUUUUGGCGGAGCGCCGUCCAAGUUCCCUGGAACGGGACGCCGGAGAGGGUGAGAGCCCCGUACCGACGUGCGCCGAGUCUUUGCAAAGCUCAUUCGAAGAGUCGAGUAGUUUGGAAAUGCUGCUCUAAUUGUGGGGUAAAUCUCCCAUAAGGCUAAAUACUGGCCAGAGACCGAUAGCGCACAAGUAGCGUGAGCGAAAGAUGAAAAGAGCCUUGAACAAGGGCGUCAAAAAGCAUGUGAAAUUGUUAUGGGGGAAGCGCUCAAUGCCAGACGUGGCGACGGUUGGUUACCCGGCGUUCUCGCCGGCGCACUCUGCCGCCGCCAGGCCAGCAUCAGUUCGGUCCGGGGCUUACUUCCGCUCGGAACGUGGCUCUUCGGAGUGUUAUAGCCCUGUGGCGACGCCCUGGGCCGGACUGAGGAACGCGCAUCUGCCCGGAUGCUGGCGUAAUGGCUUUUAGCGACCCGUCUUGAAACACGGACCAAGGAGUUGACCUAGUAUGCGAGUGUUUGGGUGUCAAGCCCUCACGCGCAGUGAAAGCGAACGCAGGUGGGAGCCUCGGCGCACCAUCGACCGAUCCUGAAGUUUACGGAUGGAUUUGAGUAGGAGCAUACUGGGUCUGACCCGAAAGAAGGUGAACUAUGCAUGAAUAGGGUGAAGCCAGAGGAAACUCUGGUGGAGGCUCGCAGCGGUUCUGACGUGCAAAUCGAUCGUCAAAUUUGUGCAUGGGGGCGAAAGACCAAUCGAACCUUCUAGUAGCUGGUUCCUGCCGAAGUUCCCUCAGGAUAGCAGAGUUGAUCCUCAGUUUCAUGAGGUAAAGCGAAUGAUUA